GCUGCAAAGGUACAUGGCAUUAUGAAGCAUGAGAUGCUGUUAAUGAAACUUAAGACUGAUCAUAUACUUGCUCCUAAAAAGUUGCCUUUAAAGUGAAUUCCUUUAGAGCAUAUUCCUUGUGUUUUUAAUUUUGGGGGGGAUAUAACGUAUAAAAGCACACAAUUUUAUAUACAUUCAUCUCCAUGUAACUGCUACCAGAUUAAAACCAAUGUUUGCAGCACUUGGAAAAUUUCAUCAUGCCCCUUCUGAGUUCUUACCUCUCUCUAAACAGAGGUCACCACUGAUUUAUUUUUGCCUAUUCCGUAACUUCAUAUAAAUAGGAUCAUACAGUGUGUUCUCAUUCGUGUCUCGUUUACUUUGUUUUCAUAAUGAUUAUGAGAGUCAUCCUGGCUGUGGGUGCCAGUAGGUUUUUUCUGUUUGUUUUUGAAAUGAUGAGGAGUAUUCCUUUGUUUAUCACAAUGCUUCUGUCCAUACCAACCAUUCUUUUUUUUUUUUUUUAAGAUUUUAUUUAUUUAUUCCUGAGAGACACAGAGAGAGAGAGAGAGAGAGGCAGAGACACAGGCAGAGGGACGAGCAGGCUCCAUGCAGGGAGCCCGACAUGGGACUCCAUCCCGGGCCUCCAGGAUCAUGCCCUGGGCUGAAGGUGGCACUAAACUGCUGAGCCACCCAAGCUACCCUACGCCAAUCAUUCUAAUGUUGAUGGACAUUUAGGCUAUUUCCAGUUUUCAGCCAUUGUAAGUAAAGCUGCUGUGAACUUUCUUAUCUUUUAAUAUUGGCUUCUAUUAUAUAAUUUCAGAUGUGUUUCCUGGGAGACAUUUUGGCCAUGGCAAGUAAUGGGAAACAUCAAACAUUUAAGUGAAGGCUUCCACAUUUCAAGGACAACAAUGAUUUCAAAUGCCAUCAUUCUUUCUCUUCUUCCAAUUGUUUGGGAAGACAUCACUGACUGCCUAGAGACCAGAGGGGACAGGAGAAGUCAUGUAGUCUGGUGAUCCUCAACCAACAGAAAAGAAGUCGUCUAUGUGGGACCUGAGGUUUUUACAACUACCAAAAUUGGCUCUUGCUUGUUCUCCAAGCCUACCAGUAUUUGUGAUGU
rnacentral:lncRNA from 12 species